GGGUCUUCGUCCGGCACCGACCAAUCAGAACUCCAAAACCGAACCUGUCCACACUGCGGAGUGGGCCCAGAUGGGAGGGGCAGCCGUGGCCGCCGCGGGAAGGAAAGGAGACUCCCCACCCAGAGCUCCAGACCCACGUCCAACGGCUUUGUGGCUGCCUCUCCCUGAACAUCCCAGAGGAGAGGGGGCCAGGGGUUGCUACACACCUGGAGAUGGAGUUCUCUGAUGCGAUGUCCUUUGGGGUCCGGACUGUCGUGAAGGUCUCCCCCUCUGACCUUUGUGUUCCCUGCGGCCUUUGCCAGUGACACGGGAGAAGUCCAUCCGGGGAGUCCGAGGUGUGGAGGUGACCGACGAGGGGGGUUCAUCCAGCUCCACGCCCACCCACUGGCCACUGGCGAACUCCGUGGUCCCGCAGAACCGCAGCGUGCCCGUCUGAGGAAACAAGAGAGGAUAUGGCUUGAGGGGCCCCUGGGAGGCCACAAUAGAUCACUGGCACACAUGAGCGUGGUGGGGUGGAUGAGGGACCCCCAGGCUCAACUCCCAGCUCGGACUUGUCCAUUUACUGGCUGUAUGACUUAACCUCACUGUGCCUCAAUGGCCUCAUCUGUGUAAUGGGAACAGAAAUCGCACCCACCUUAUAGGAUUGUUACAGAGCUGCCCUGUCCAAUGCAGUAAAUAGCCACUAGACACAUAUGACAAUUUCAAUUUAAAUUAAUUAAAAUUAAAUUAAAAUUUCAUUUCCCCAGUUGCACUAGCCACAUUUCAAGUACUUAAUAGCCACAUGUGGCCUGUGGCUACUUCACUGGACAGCGCAGACACAGAACAUUUCCAUCAUCUCAGAAAGGUCUAAUGGACAGGCUGUUAUAAAGAAGUGAAAGCCCUCAGAACAGGGCCUGGUGCUGAGUAAGGCAGUAAGUGCUGAGUAUUAUCAUCCGGUAACUUUCGUCAAGGGACUUCCUGGGCCUCAGUUUCCUCUGGAAAAUGGGGUAACAAUCCACUGCAUAGGUUGGUUGUCUGAUUGAAACAUUUUUAAUAUAUGUAAAGUUGCCUAGCUGCAGUGGGUGUGGUUAUCAUCACUGUGUGAGGCUCCUUCACUCUCUGAGCCUCAGUUCCUUGUCUGUCAAUGGGCUAAUUAAUCAUGCCCACGUCAGGGGGGGUGUGGACAUCGGUGCCUGGCCCACAAAGAGUGCUUAGGAGGCACCAGGCCCUGUUCAAAGCGCUGUACACAUUUUAACCAACUUAAACCUCAUACAACCCCCUGAGAUGGGUACUGUUAUUUGCUCCAUU